rnacentral:misc_RNA from 1 species
GAUAAAGUGCACGCGUACCGAACGAAAAUUCAAAGUCGAUUUUCUCGAAAACAAAGCCCCAAACGAAAAAUUUUUAUUCUAUAUUUUCGACUUCUUUUUUCGCCUAGAAUCACCCCCUUUCCGCUUGUACCACCAGUUACCAACCACCCUGUAUAUUAUGUUGUCCGGAAAGUGUCUUUCUUUCGCAAACGUGUUUUUUUACAAUAGUGCACUUUCGUACAAACGUGAAACCAAGUCUGUGAAAUGUCGUGGU